AGUGAACGCUGGCGGUAGGCUUAACACAUGCAAGUCGAACGGGAGCACAGUAAGAGCUUGCUCUUACGGGUGGCGAGUGGCGGACGGGUGAGGUAUACAGCGGAAUCUACUUUUUCGUGGGGGAUAACGUAGGGAAACUUACGCUAAUACAGCAUACGACCUACGGGUGAAAGCAGGGGAUCUUCGGACCUUGCGCGAUUGAAUGAGCCGAUGCCGGAUUAGUUAGUUGGCGGGGUAAAGGCCCACUAAGGCGACGAUCCGUAGCUGGUCUGAGAGGAUGAUCGGCGACACUGGAACUGAGACACGGUCCAGACUCCUACGGGAGGCAGCAGUGGGGAAUAUUGGACAAUAGGCGCGAGCCUGAUCCAGCCAUACCGCGUGGGUUGAGAAGGCCUUCGGGUUGUAAAGCCGCUUUGUUGGGAAAGAAAAGCUGCAGUUUAAUACGCCGCUGUUCUGACGGUACCCGAAGAAUAAGCACCGGCUAACUUCGUG
rnacentral:rRNA from 1 species